GGCGAACGCUGGCGGCGUGCUUAACACAUGCAAGUCGAACGGAAAGGCCCUGCUUUUGUGGGGUGCUCGAGUGGCGAACGGGUGAGUAACACGUGAGUAACCUGCCCUUGACUUUGGGAUAACUUCAGGAAACUGGGGCUAAUACCGGAUAGGAGCUCCUGCUGCAUGGUGGGGGUUGGAAAGUUUCGGCGGUUGGGGAUGGACUCGCGGCUUAUCAGCUUGUUGGUGGGGUAGUGGCUUACCAAGGCUUUGACGGGUAGCCGGCCUGAGAGGGUGACCGGCCACAUUGGGACUGAGAGACGGCCCAGACUCCUACGGGAGGCAGCAGUGGGGAAUAUUGCACAAUGGGCGGAAGCCUGAUGCAGCAACGCCGCGUGCGGGAUGACGGCCUUCGGGUUGUAAACCGCUUUCGCCUGUGACGAAGCGUGAGUGACGGUAAUGGGUAAAGAAGCACCGGCUAACUACGU
rnacentral:rRNA from 1 species